rnacentral:lncRNA from 1 species
AGAGGGGAUAUUGUAUGUAACUGGUGACAUUUGAAAGAGACAUAUUGGACAGAAAUGACAUACGUGAAAGCUAAGAUACAAUAUAUUUAAUUUUCUAAGAAUUCAGUUCAAGGUAGUCUGCCUGGUUUCUCAAGUUCUGCAUGUUUCUUCAGUAGACUAAAUAAUGAUAAGGAAGCUGAGAUGUAGAGCUGAAGUGUCUUGCCCAAGAUCAUUUGUCUACCUAUGACCUGGCUCAACCCAGCUACAAGUUGUUAAUAAGAGGGAAGCAUAUCAGGAAAAUCUGAGUGCAAUGGUUUAGGAAUUGGGAAAGUAUAAAAGGUAUAGCACAACAGCACUAGACAACUGAGGUAGUCACCUACCUAAGGAGAGAUGCCAAGGACAAGUUGGCCAGCUAAACACUUUCUCCAGAAAUGGGAUUUAUAGUUUUGCUAAUUUCUUUAAUAUCAGAAGACAGCUGGAUUCUCAUUUCUGCUUCUGCAUUCAGUCUAUUGUGAUAUAGCAUAUCAUGUAACUUCUGAAAAACUUCACUGUACACAGAUGCUGACCUCACAGACUCCCUGAAAGGAUCUCCAUGACCUCUAUGGUUCCUUAGACUGCACUUUGAGAACUAUUGACGUACAGGGAAAAAUGCUCUUGGUGCCAAGAAGGGAUUCCGAAGAUAGAAGAGGAGGCAUCAACACCGUGAACAUCAUGGCUGAGUUAUUUUGUGAGAGGGAUAAGCCUAAAGUAAAAACCUUGGAUUUGCCUCUGUCCUUGAACAUGCUAUCUGGAAAGAGUUUUCUUAAAAGUAUUGUUGUGAACACAUCCAUUUUCCCAGUAUAGUUGAAUGCAGGGUUUAAUAAAUGGAAUGAAUCUAG